UUCCGCUGUUCCGAUUCCGUUGGUGUCCCUACUAUCCUAACUGAUCGAAUUGAUGCUGCUGCCCGCUAGGACGGACACCCUGGUCUCUGGUUCCUGUUAUUCUGAGUACCAAAGCUGUUGCUCCAUUCCCGUCUUUCCUUGCCAUUAUUAAUUUCCCCUUCAAAGUUACUGUUGCUGCUAUUAGAGUUGUGGUUGAUGUUGUUAUCCUCGCGUUAGAACAUGGAGGGUUGCUGCAUUUCCAAUUUUGUGUGGUUAAUGCGACAUCGAGUGACACAGGUUUGAAGACGCG